AAAGGACAAAAGAGCCAACAUCAAGAACCAGCAGGCAGAUGAGUCCUGGAGCUGAAAGGCAUCCAGAGGGGGCAUAGAUGAUGUUCUUCAGCAUCAAAGAAGGGGAAAACUGUGGCAGAGUCAAGCAAAGCAGUUUGCCUACUGAAUGAAUGAUAACAGCUCAUACUCCAACACCACUGCUGACAAUCCCCAAACCCACAAGCUUGGAAGGAAGUGACAGGGCUUGGAUUUCCCUGGAAGGAACAUGAAGGUGGAAUUGCAAGAAAGGAAACUCUGUUUCCAUCAGAUCUUCAGUGCCAAAAAUAA